AUUGAACGCUGGCGGCAGGCCUAACACAUGCAAGUCGAGCGGAGCGGCUGACGGGUGAGUAAUUCCUAGGAAUCUGCCUGGUAGCGUGGGAUAACGUCCGGAAACGGGCGCUAAUACCGCAUACUAUCAGAUGAGCCUAGGGCGGAUUAGCUAGUUGGUGGGGUAAAGGCCUACCAAGGCGACGAUCCGUAACUUGUCUGAGAGGAUGAUCAGUCACACUGGAAAUGAGACACGGUCCGGAUUCCUACGGGAGGAAUCAGUGGGGAAUAUUGGGCAAUGGGCGAAAGCCUGAUACAGCCAUGCCGCGUGUGUGAAGAAGGUGUUCGGAUUGUAAAGCACUUUAAGUUGGGAGGCGUUAGCAACAGAAUAAGCACCGGCUAACUUCGUGCCAGCAGCCGCGGUAAUUC
rnacentral:rRNA from 1 species